GCGGAAGCUGCGACACGUUCACGCGUGAGCGCCACGGUUUACAGAGGAAGAGUGCAUGUGAACGGACGAGGGGACUUACGGCCUCCGCACCACAGUCCGCGUCAGGCUGGGCCCUUCUCUCUCCGUCGAUGCAGACAUGCUGAACCAGGUCCUCCUUAAACUCUGCCUGACGUAACCCAUGGAUAUAACCUUCAUCUCCUGGACAACAGGACCGUUUACAGUUCUUCUGGAUUCCUCCAUCUCUGAAACCUGGGAGCUUCUCCUCAUCUCAACAUGACACUGACAGCAUUACCUGCACUCUAACGCAACAUUUUCUGUUCAGCCAAGAAAAGGCACAAACAAACCCUACCAAGUUUGACAUUGUGGAGAAAAUGAAGAUCAAGAAUAACACUGAAACUUCUGCUGCUUUGAGGGAUCUAGAGAGGAAGCAUGAACACAAAUCUGUGUAGAGUAACAAUAAUCUACAUUAAAUAAAGAUUUUCUGUGUAGACCCAA